rnacentral:lncRNA from 10 species
GGAGAGGCGGGACUUCCGGUCGGCGCCGCCUGCGAAGUGCUCCGCGGCCGGCGGAGACGCGGGCAGCCAGCGAUGGCCGCGGAGGGGGCGAACUGGGUUCCGGCCCUCGGAGGCUGACGGAAGGCGGUGGCUGAGGAGCGGCGCCUCUGGUUGAGCGCUCGCCGUGUGUCCCGCACCUGUCUGUCCUGCCGCCGCCCGGUAAGCACAGCACAGCACCGCACAUCUCCAGUCGGACUGGCUACAUUUCAAGGGCUCAACCAUCACGCGUUACCAGUGGCUACUGCAUCAGACUGUGCAGUGCUAGAUGGGGAGUCAGAAGAGAAACCAAGUGAUUUCCAUGUCAAGUGGUGAACAGGCUAAGAAGAAAAGUAAAUUGGGGAAAGAGCAUGGGGAAUGUGGGGGUUGCUGUUUGAAAGAGGAUGGUUGGGAAGGCUGAAGAGCUGUCAUUCGCAGAGGGACCCAAAAGAGCUGGAUUUACUUCCACCUCUGCCACCUGUGAGACAGCGAGACCAACCCCUCCUCCUCCUCUUCCUAGCCUACUCCGAGUGAAGAUGAUGAAGAUGAAGACCGUUAUGAUCCACUUCCACUUAAUGAAAGAUGAAUAUAUUUUCUCUUCCUAAUGAUUUUUUUUUUUUUUUUUUUGGAGACAGAGUCUCGCUGCAUCCCCCAGGCUGGAGUACAGUGGUAUGAUCUUGGCUCACUGCAACCUCUGCCUCCUAGGUUCAAGUGAUUCUCCUGCCUCAGUCUCCCGAGUAGCUGGGAUUACAGGCGCCCACCACCAUGCCCGGCUAAUUUUUGUAUUUUUAGUAGAGAUGGGGUUUCACUAUGUUGGCCAGGCUGGUCUCAAACUCCUGACCUCAGGUGAUCUGCCUGACUUGGCCUCCCAAAGUGCUGGGAUUACAGGCAUGAGCCACCUUGCCUGGCCUCUUCCUAAUGAUUUUUUAAAGUACAUCUUGUUUUCUCUGUCUUACUUUAUCAUAAAAAUAUAUGAUACAAAUAAAAUACAGAAUAUGUGUUAAUGGACUGUGUAUGUUAUGAGUAAGCCUUCCAGUCGACAGUGGGCUAUUAUUGGUGGUUAAGUUUUGGGGGAGUGUGUGUUCAAGGGUCAACCGCACUUCCUGAGGGCACUGUGAGAACUAAGUUAAAUAACCCACUUUUACAAUCUUUGGAACCGGGGGCAGGUGGCUGGGGCUCACACCUGUAAUUACAGCACUUUGGGAGGCUGAGGCAGGAAGAUCCCUUGAGGCCAAGAGUUUGAGACCAGCCUGGGCAACAAAGCAAGACUCUGUCUCUACAAAAAUUUU